GCUUUUUUUCAUCUCUACUUUCUAAAAAUGGGGUGUAUGUUUUGCAUAAUAUAAAAUAUGUAACUUUAUGCAUGCUCCACUUUCCGUUAUAGAAAUGUUGGGAACACGUCCUUUCUUUUUUCAUUCUCAUCAUUUGGAUAUGCAAUGGGGCAAUAUUUGUUUUCUCUUCCACCAAUUGUAAACUAACAUGCUGAGAACGUAAGCAUCACUCAUGCAAAUACAGUUGAACUUCAUCGAUAUUGCUUUCUGAUACCAUCAACUUUCAUGGUGGACACAACACAACACAAAACAACACAUCCUUAAAGCAUAUCCAAUCCGAUUCAAGACAAAGACAUGCAUGAAAACAUUGACUCCUUAUAUAUCAAAUGGUGUUGGAAAGAACAAGGAUGUAUGGAGAAAAGUUGGAUUGGAUAAACCGCGUGAACCUGCCAUCACAUCGCAAUCGCAUGAACAGUACUUUUGAUGAUUUGGAGAAGAAGCCAGGGACAUGCACACAAUAUGCGACACACUCAUCUCUCUCUACAUAUUCAGUCAAUGACAAUUCAAAUCAUCACCCCAACAGUAUCACCUGAUGUUGAAAUCAAUAUUUAAAGAGUUCAUGACAGACAAAAAAAAAACAAAGAAAAGUAACUUCAGAAAAGCAAAAUACCAAGGAAAAAUAAAUCUUGUUGAAUCAUAUCUAUACUGUUUGAAAACAACCUUUUCAUGUAACAAAACUUAACACCUUCUUAAUUUUGUUUUCACUGAAAGUAAAAUUGUUGUUGGACUUGUCAGAAAUAAUAAGGUUGGAAUCAAAAGGGAGAGUACAUGCAAGAAACAUUCCAAUGUUUUAAGUCAGUAAUCAUGCAGGUAUGUAUGUAAUAAAUGUUCUUGAAUCAGUCACUUACUUUGAGUUUCAACUCCUUUUCAUGCAUUCCACGA
rnacentral:lncRNA from 1 species